UGGGGAAUAUUGGACAAUGGGCGAAAGCCUGAUCCAGCCAUGCCGCGUGUGUGAAGAAGGUCUUCGGAUUGUAAGGCACUUUAAGUUGGGAGGAAGGGCAGUAAGUUAAUACCUUGCUGUUUUGACGUUACCGACAGAAUAAGCACCGGCUAACUCUGUGCCAGCAGCCGCGGUAAUACAGAGGGUGCAAGCGUUAAUCGGAAUUACUGGGCGUAAAGCGCGCGUAGGUGGUUUGUUAAGUGGGAUGUGAAAGCCCCGGGCUCAACCUGGGAACUGCAUCCAAAACUGGCAAGCUAGAGUACGGUAGAGGGUGGUGGAAUUUCCUGUGUAGCGGUGAAAUGCGUAGAUAUAGGAAGGAACACCAGUGGCGAAGGCGACCACCUGGACUGAUACUGACACUGAGGUGCGAAAGCGUGGGGAGCAAACA
rnacentral:rRNA from 1 species